rnacentral:rRNA from 1 species
CUCCAGACUCCUACGGGAGGCAGCAGUGGGGAAUAUUGCACAAUGGGGGAAACCCUGAUGCAGCGACGCCGCGUGGGUGAAGAAGCGCCUCGGCGCGUAAAGCCCUGUCAGCAGGGAAGAAAAUGACGGUACCUGAAGAAGAAGCCCCGGCUAACUACGUGCCAGCAGCCGCGGUAAUACGUAGGGGGCAAGCGUUAUCCGGAUUUACUGGGUGUAAAGGGGGCGCAGACGGCGAUGCAAGCCAGGAGUGAAAGCGCGGGGCCCAACCCCGGGACUGCUCUUGGAACUGCGUGGCUGGAGUGCAGGAGGGGCAGGCGGAAUUCCUGGUGUAGCGGUGAAAUGCGUAGAUAUCAGGAGGAACACCGGCGGCGAAGGCGGCCUGCUGGACCGUGACUGACGUUGAGGCUCGAGAGCGUGGGGAGCAAACAGGAUUAGAUACCCCAGUAACG